rfam:Oryza nivara chromosome 9, whole genome shotgun sequence.
UUUAAGUGUAGUUGUGGAUUUCCGUAUCCAACGUUUGACCGUCCGUUUUAUUUAAAAAUUUUUUAUGAUUAUUGUUUUUAUUGUUAUUAGAUGAUAAAACAUGAAUAUUAUUUUAUAUAUGCGUGAGCGUGACUUAUUUUUUAUUUAUUUUUAAAUAAGAUGAACGGUUAAAUGUUGGACACAUGAACCUACAACUGCACUUAAA